UCGGUCACAUCAGGUUGAAACACCGGUUCUCGUACGAUCACCGAAGUUAAGCAACGUCGUGACUGGUCAGUACCUAGAUAGGUGGCUGCUUGGGAAUAUCAGUUGAUGUAA